GCAAACUUGGUCAUUUAGAGGAAGUAAAAGUCGUAACAAGGUAACCGUAGGUGAACCUGCGGUUGGAUCAUUAGAAAAGGUGAAGGGUGUAGUGGCCCGCGGGGUGCUUGUUACCCCGAAAAACACACUAGUCCUCUUGUUCUAACAGGAGGACAAAUAAAACUUAUUUGUGAACUGUUCCUGUCUCUGGCGAGCGGGUAGUGUCAUCUGCUACUUGUCAGCGCAAUGCCAGCGCCGUGGACAACUCGCCAACCAAAUCUGUAUUCAAACAUUUUUGCUCCAAAUUCUUUUGUCUGAAAACUUUUCUGUGUAAAACUAGGAAAAAACAACUUUUGGCAACGGAUCUCUAGGCUCUCGCAUCGAUGAAGAACGCAGC
rnacentral:misc_RNA from 1 species